UGCCCCUCCGUCACUGCAAGCCAUGCAUGCAUGUGUGGAGUUGCUGGGAGGACCACACCUGGCGCCUGCAGAGCAGCAACUGCGUGCGCAAAGUGGCCGAGAGGCUGGACCAGGGGCUGCAGGAAGUUGAGAGACUGCAGCGCAGGCCGGGGCCUGGCGCCUGUGCACAGCUCAAGCAGGCACUGGAAGUGCUGGUGGCUGGGAGCAGACAGUUUUGCCGCGGUGCCGAGCGCAGGACGAUGACCCGGCCCAAUGCCCUGGAUCGAUGCCGAGGGAAACUCCUGGUGCACAGCCUGGUAUGGCCUCGGGAAGGGACUCGGGCGCCUAGCUUGGGCCUUCCACUCAUGCUGUCUUUUUGCCCUCCCAGAACCUUUUGGCUAAGCAAGGACUGCGACUUCUACGCGGCCUGAGACGGAACAAUGUGCAAAAGAAGGUGGCACUGGCCAAGAAGCUCCUGGCAAAACUGCGCUUUCUGGCUGAGGAGCACAACUUGGAUGAAGAUGAAAUGGAUGAUCCUGGAGAUUCAGAUGGGGUCAACCUCAUUUCUAUGGUUGGGGAGAUCCAAGACCAGGGUGAGGCUGAAGUCAAAGGCACUGUGUCCCCAAAAAAAGCAGUUGCCACCCUGAAGGUGACUGGGUACUGGGAAGAGGAAAGUCUCCUUUGGAUUCUGGACAUCGGGCUGUUGCUGAAGUCCUUGCCUUUUAGAUCUACAACAGGUCCCUGGAGGAAGAAUUUAACCACUUUGAAGACUGGCUGAAUGUGUUUCCUCUGUCCCGAGGGCAAGGGGGCCAGGAUGGAGGUGGAGAAGAGGAAGGAUCUGGACACCUUGUGGGCAAGUUCAAGGGCUCCUUCCUCAUUUACCCUGAAUCAGAGGCAGUGUCGUUCUCUGAGCCCCAGAUCUCCCGGGGGAUCCCACAGAACCGGCCCAUCAAGCUCCUGGUCAGAGUGUAUAUUGUAAAGCUAAGAAACCUUUGCAAAAUCCAAGGUCAUGAAGACUUUUGCCUGUUUUCUGCUGCUACCAACCUGGCUCCUGCAGACCCCAAUGGCAAAGCAGACCCUUACGUGGUGGUGAGCGCUGGCCGGGAGCGGCAGGACACCAAGGAACGCUACAUCCCCAAGCAGCUCAACCCCAUCUUUGGAGAGAUCCUGGAGCUAAGCAUCUCUCUCCCAGCUGAGACGGAGCUGACGGUCGCCGUAUUUGAUCAUGACCUCGUGGGUUCUGACGACCUCAUCGGGGAGACCCACAUUGAUCUGGAAAACCGAUUCUAUAGCCACCACAGAGCAAACUGUGGGCUGGCCUCCCAGUAUGAAGUGUGGGUCCAGCAGGGCCCACAGGAGCCAUUCUAAGUUUCUGGCCAAACACAUUCAAGCUCACAUUCCCUUUUGUGUCUCCAGAUCCUAUGAUUUCAUGGAAGGGGACCCUCCCACCCACCGCCACUGCCAACCAAGACAUAGCUCAGUGGUCAAGACUUGGGCUUGGGAGUCGGGAUCCUGUAACGAAUGUCACUUGACCGCUUUCUUUUUUUUUUUUUUUUUUGAAACAGUCUCGCUCUGUCUCCCAGGUUGGAGUGCAGUGGCACGAUCUCGGCUGACUGCAACCUCCACCUCCUGGGUUCAAGCGAUUCUCCUGCCUCAGCCUCCCCAGUAGCUGGGAUUACAUGCAUGGGCCACCAUGUCCAGCUAAUUUUUAUAUUUUUAGUAGAGACAGGGUUUCACCAUGUUGUCCAGGCUGGUCUUGAACCCCUGACCUCAAGUGAUCCACCCACCUCUGCCUCCCAAAGUGCUGGGAUUACAGGUGUGAGCCACCAUGCCAGUCCCACUUAACCUCUUCAAGUCUGUUUUCUCAUCUGCAAAACAGAGGUAAUAAGAUCAGUAUCUUCUUAAUGGAAGCACCUGGACUACAUUUUUUUCAUUCAUUGUUAUCAUAAAUGAGGACUAACCUGUCUCCCGUUGGGAGUUUUGAACCUAGACCUCAUGUCUUCAUGACGUCAUCACUGCCCCAGGCCCAACUGUGUCCCUACACCAGCCCCAGCUGAUGCAUCUUCCUUUUCUGCCUGUAGAGAUGGUUACAAUGCCUGGCGUGAUGCAUUCCGGCCUUCGCAGAUCCUGGCGGGGCUGUGCCAACGCUGUGGCCUCCCUGCCCCUGAAUACCGAGCCGGUGCUGUCAAGGUGGGCAGCAAAGUCUUCCUGACACCACCGGAGACCCUGCCCCCAGGGAUCUCUUCACAUGUGGAUUGACAUCUUUCCUCAAGAUGUGCCUGCUCCACCCCCAGUUGACAUCAAGCCUCGGCAGCCAAUCAGCUAUGAGCUCAGAGUUGUCAUCUGGAACACGGAGGAUGUGGUUCUGGAUGAUGAGAAUCCACUCACCGGAGAGAUGUCGAGUGACAUCUAUGUGAAGAGGUAGGCUGCCGGCCAGGCGGGGCAACGGCGGUGCACUAGGGGGAUUGCAAAUGGGUGUGGGCCCUCGGGCUGAGUCCAGAGCCCCGACCCCAGGCCCUCCGUGGUGCUGAGAGCGGGGUGAGGAGUGGGUUCUCCAUGUAGCUCCAGCCCUGACGCUCACCUACCCCGGCCCCAGCUGGGUGAAGGGGUUGGAGCAUGACAAGCAGGAGACAGACGUUCACUUCAACUCCCUGACUGGGGAGGGGAACUUCAACUGGCGCUUUGUGUUCCGCUUUGACUACCUGCCCACGGAGCGGGAGGUGAGCGUCCGGCGCAGGUCUGGACCCUUUGCCCUGGAGGAGGCUGAGUUCCGGCAGCCUGCAGUGCUGGUCCUGCAGGUCUGGGACUAUGACCGCAUCUCUGCCAAUGACUUCCUUGGUAUUACACUGCUUAGCCUUCCCCACCCUCAGCCCCUGCCUCCAGCCCUCACCUCCGCCCCUGCCUCCAGCCCUCGCUUCCGUCCCCCAGUUCCCUACUCUGACCCAACCUUGAAUCUUGGGAUUUUGGACCCGAGGUGUGAAACCUUUGCUUUCUGGCCUAAUUACUGAGUUAAUUAGGCCUAGACCACAGUAACCUCCAUUCCCACCCAGAGUCUCUGAUUCAACUCUGAUUUGACCCUAGCUUGUCACCCUGACACCAACUCCACAGCCUUUGGUCCUUGGCACUCUGAUCCCGACCCUUGGCCCUCUUCCACUGGGAAGUAGCAAUGGGUGGACCGCUGGGCUGUGGUCUGGGUGGUCUAUAGCUGUGGCCUGACCACACACUGCAACUUUCAAUGCCCCAAUUUACAACCUUGGUGUGUUGCCUCCUCACCCCUGGCACAAUGAGACUUUGAUCCCAUGCCUAAUCUGGUGUGCUCUGGACUUGCAGGAUCCCUGGAGUUGCAGCUACCAGACAUGGUGCGUGGGGCCCGGGGCCCCGAGCUCUGCUCUGUGCGGCUGGCCCGCGAUGGGGCCGGGUCGAGGUGCAAUCUGUUUCGCUGCCGCCGCCUGAGGGGCUGGUGGCCGGUAGUGAAGCUGAAGGAGGCAGAGGACGUGGAGCGGGAGGCGCAGGAGGCUCAGGCUGGCAAGAAGAAGCGAAAGCAGAGGAGGAGGAAGGGCCGGCCAGAAGACCUGGAGUUCACAGACACGGGUGGCAAUGUGUACAUCCUCACGGGCAAGGUGGAGGCAGAGUUUGAGCUGCUGACUGUGGAGGAGGCCGAGAAACGGCCAGUGGGGAAGGGGCGGAAGCAGCCAGAGCCUCUGGAGAAACCCAGCCGCCCGAAAACUUCCUUCAACUGGUUUGUGAACCCGCUGAAGACCUUUGUCUUCUUCAUCUGGCGCCGGUACUGGCGCAUCCUGGUGCUGCUGCUGCUACUGGUGCUGCUCACCGUCUUCCUCCUCCUGGUCUUCUACACCAUCCCUGGCCAGAUCAGCCAGGUCAUCUUCCGUCCCCUCCACAAGUGACUCUCGCUGACCUUGGACACUCACCCAGGGUGCCAACCCUUCAAUGCCUGCUCCUGGAAGUCUUUCUUACCAAUGUGAGCUACCCCAGAGUCUAGUGCUUCCUCUGAAUAAACCUAUCACAGCCACUGA
rnacentral:sRNA from 1 species